UAUCCCCUGUGUGCCUUUAAGGCGUGCGUAGCGAAGCUAACGCGAUAAGUUGACCGCCUGGGGAGUACGGCCGCAAGAUUAAAACUCAAAUGAAUUGACGGGGGCCCGCACAAGCGGUGGAGCAUGUGGUUUAAUUCGAAGCAACGCGAAGAACCUUACCUACACUUGACAUACUAGAAACUUUUCAGAGAUGAAUUGGUGCCUUCGGGAAUCUAGAUACAGGUGCUGCAUGGCU
rnacentral:rRNA from 1 species